GUUCCUGACUGUAGUUCCUCUUUCACUUUGGACGACCAGUAAAUAUCAGCCAGCCGACAGCAUCAGUCUCUCUUCACAGCUCGGUCCUGGUCUCAGUCGGAUCACUGAGGAAGAUCAACAAGAGACUCUGAGGCUCCACAGCAGGUGCAACACAUCAUGGCAAACCGUCAGUGCACAUUUGAGAUUGUCAACAAGAGUUCACCUUCUGUAACCCGCAGGUGUUCACUUACAGUGGAAUCUAUGAGAAGCCGUUGUCACCAACUCUCGGCCCCUCUGAAUCUGGCAGCGCUCUGUUCAUCAAGACUUCGAACACAGCAUGUGGGGCUGUUGGAGUCCUCACCUAUGAUCUGCAGAACAAAUCCACAGAGAAAUGUGAUGGAAAAAUAGCCGUCAUGUACUCCGUUCCUUAUGACUACAACUUCUACUCUAACAUGUACGCAGUGGGAGUCUUUGAUGUGGAUACAAAGUGUGAUUAUGACCUUUAUAAAGAGAUGUAUUAUGGGGCGGGGUCAAUGUUUGUCAGAGGUAAAGCUAAAGACAGUCUGACUUACAAAGGCAAAGAUGUCACCAUCAGAGCCACCAUGACAGACAGUAAGACAUCUGUCAUCAAGGUGCACGUGUCCAACGGAAAUAUGAAGCUUUCUUAAACCCUUCAGACCUUCUUCCAUGAACCAGUAAUCCCAGUUGGCCCACAAAGACAGAAAGUUUUUUUUUCUUCAUCAUUCUCAUUGUCUUCCAUUUAGCUAGGGUGAUUUUGGUUUUCCUAACAGAGGACAGUGGGGGCAGGAGGCAGACGGACACCGUGGUGGCAAUGUGUACUGCAGAGGCUCUACUAUCUACUAAACUAGUAUAAAUUAGUGUACGAGUACAAUAUAGUAACAUUAAAUAAAAAGUUGAAUGUUAGUAUAAUACCAAUAUAUCUGUAGCUUUCUCUGUAUUUGGCUAAUGUCACAGUGUUUAUAGUCUAUUUGUAACAUUUCAACAGCUUAUUGAGAUUAACGGAUUCACUAAUGGAACAGUUUUCUGUCACGUUAAGGUUUGACUUGUGCUAAAGUUACAUUAGAAUUUCAGAUAACAGUAUCCUAUAUAGCGUACCACUAGUGUAAUAUUAAUUCCAGUUCCAGCAGUUUCGUUACGGUUCGUUGUUCUCGUUCAUUAAAUCCUCGUGCGAGAAAAAAAGCUAACUUGUCACUAAUCAGAACCGUUCGUGCAGAACGAGUUCAACAUUUGGAAAGUUUGCCGUAGCACCACGUCAACCUUUUUUCAUGUCCCGCCUCUCUGCUCCUGCUUCCAGUGUUUAUGCUGAGCUACACUGUGAAAGAUGAAACUGUACUUGAUUUGAUUGUUAUUGAUCAUAAAUGAUGUUUCUCUAGCACUGCAGCUCAUCUAUGCAGCUUCUUUCUGAAAUAAAGUCGGGCCUUAAAGCAGUC